CUACAAAUUUACGAAAUUAUUUAUUGUGUGCAAGUCUUUUUUUUUUAAAGAUGUCUAUACGUCUGGCCGGAAAAUGUUUUAGUUAAAAUGUUAUAGUUUUGUUUUUUUUUUUUUUUCACAGAAAAAUUCCUGCGCUUUUCCUUGUGGUGCGGUGUUAUGAAACCAGCGAUAAAUAGUUAUGAAAGUUAUUGAGAAAACUACGAACGGUCACUUGUUCAGAAUUUCAUUUAUUCUUUAAAAUAUUUUUUUUAAUAAUAUCUUUUUCUUUUCGAUACGACAAUAUCCAUAUUUAAUGCAAAUUAAAAAAUUAUAUAUACUAGACGCAAUUUGAUGAAAGAAACCAUGAGAAAUGUUUAAAAUUGAGAAGGACGCGAACUUAAGCUCACUAUAUGGAAGUAAACUGUUUGACAAAAAUAUAUGUAUAUACAUCAUUUAGAAAAAGAAAUAUUAAAUCAUAGACCAUUUGAUAUUGAACAAAAAAAACUUUUUUGAUUUGAUCCAAAAAAUAAACAACUAAAAUAAAAAGAAAACGCACGAACACAUGAACGAAGGCACGUUGUUGAAUUUUUGUUUUAAAAAAAAUAUAGCACUGUGCAUCAGAAAACCAUUAUUUUAAUAUUUCCGAUUUUUUUAAUUAAAACAAAUUUUAACACUUGCACUUUAAAAAUUAUUAUUAUCAUUUUUUAUACGAAAAUUUAAAAUUUUUAACGAGAACUCGUUCAUAUCCAAGCAUGGAGGAGGGAUUGAAUAAAGUUAUAAAUCAAUUUUAAAAUUUUAAGGUGUAGACAAUAAGUUAUAAGAUGCAAUAACACAAAUUAAAUAUUCUUGCAAAAUAAAAAGAACUCAAAUUA